rnacentral:rRNA from 1 species
AGAGUUUGAUUCUGGCUCAGAUUGAACGCUGGCGGCAGGCCUAACACAUGCAAGUCGAACGGUAACAGGAAGAAGCUUGCUUCUUUGCUGACGAGUGGCGGACGGGUGAGUAAUGUCUGGGAAACUGCCUGAUGGAGGGGAAUAACUACUGGAAACGGUAGCUAAUACCGCAUAACGUCGCAAGACCAAAGAGGGGGACCUUCGGGCCUCUUGCCAUCGGAUGUGCCCAGAUGGGAUUAGCUAGUAGGUGGGGUAACGGCUCACCUAGGCGACGAUCCCUAGCUGGUCUGAGAGGAUGACCAGCCACACUGGAACUGAGACACGGUCCAGACUCCUACGGGAGGCAGCAGUGGGGAAUAUUGCACAAUGGGCGCAAGCCUGAUGCAGCCAUGCCGCGUGUAUGAAGAAGGCCUUCGGGUUGUAAAGUACUUUCAGCGGGGAGGAAGGGAGUAAAGUUAAUACCUUUGCUCAUUGACGUUACCCGCAGAAGAAGCACCGGCUAACUCCGUGCCAGCAGCCGCGGUAAUACGGAGGGUGCAAGCGUUAAUCGGAAUUACUGGGCGUAAAGCGCACGCAGGCGGUUUGUUAAGUCAGAUGUGAAAUCCCCGGGCUCAACCUGGGAACUGCAUCUGAUACUGGCAAGCUUGAGUCUCGUAGAGGGGGGUAGAAUUCCAGGUGUAGCGGUGAAAUGUGUAGAGAUCUGGAGGAAUACCGGUGGCGAAGGCGGCCCCCUGGACGAAGACUGACGCUCAGGUGCGAAAGCGUGGGGAGCAAACAGGAUUAGAUACCCUGGUAGUCCACGCCGUAAACGAUGUCGACUUGGAGGUUGUGCCCUUGAGGCGUGGCUUCCGGAGCUAACGCGUUAAGUCGACCGCCUGGGGAGUACGGCCGCAAGGUUAAAACUCAAAUGAAUUGACGGGGGCCCGCACAAGCGGUGGAGCAUGUGGUUUAAUUCGAUGCAACGCGAAGAACCUUACCUGGUCUUGACAUCCACGGAAGUUUUCAGAGAUGAGAAUGUGCCUUCGGGAACCGUGAGACAGGUGCUGCAUGGCUGUCGUCAGCUCGUGUUGUGAAAUGUUGGGUUAAGUCCCGCAACGAGCGCAACCCUUAUCCUUUGUUGCCAGCGGUCCGGCCGGGAACUCAAAGGAGACUGCCAGUGAUAAACUGGAGGAAGGUGGGGAUGACGUCAAGUCAUCAUGGCCCUUACGACCAGGGCUACACACGUGCUACAAUGGCGCAUACAAAGAGAAGCGACCUCGCGAGAGCAAGCGGACCUCAUAAAGUGCGUCGUAGUCCGGAUUGGAGUCUGCAACUCGACUCCAUGAAGUCGGAAUCGCUAGUAAUCGUGGAUCAGAAUGCCACGGUGAAUACGUUCCCGGGCCUUGCACUCACCGCCCGUC